UACGGGGGGGGUAAGCGUUGUUCGGAAUUACUGGGCGUAAAGGGCUCGUAGGCGGCCAACUAAGUCGGAUGUGAAAUCCCCAGGCUCAACUUGGGAACUGCAUCCGAUACUGAUUGGCUUGAAUCCGGGAGAGGGAUGCAGAAUUCCAGGUGUAGCGGUGAAAUGCGUAGAUAUUAGGAAGAACACCGGUGGCGAAGGCGGCCCACUGGUCCGGUACUGACGCUGAGGUGCGAAAGCGUGGGGAGCAAACAGG
rnacentral:rRNA from 1 species